UGAAAUUGGCUCUUCUUCAACGAUGCUCAAUAAAGCUCCAGAUCCUAGAGUUAUCAAGCUUGAUUGGAGAUUCUACCCUACCACAAGAGCUAUAAGCAAUGGGCAAGACUAGAGAAGGGAAGGCCAAGCAUUUUAGAUGGUCGGUUCCAAUGGAGCGUAUGUUUUUAGAGAUACUAGCUGAUGAAGCUUUAAAGGGGAACAAACCUUCAGCCACCUUUAAACCAUCUUCGUUUG